AAAUAAGCCGUUAAAACAAUAACCCACUAACCUGGUCAGGACAGAAAUGGAGCAGCCAAAUGAGGAAGUGUUGUGUUUGACGGUUUUUUAUUUGCA
rnacentral:SRP_RNA from 2 species